rnacentral:rRNA from 1 species
GUGAGGAAUAUUGGACAAUGGGCGCAAGCCUGAACCAGCCAUCCCGCGUGGAGGAAGACGGCCCUAUGGGUUGUAAACUUCUUUUCAAGGGGAAGAAAGUUCGCGACGUGUCGCGAUUUGCCGGUACCUUUGGAAUAAGCAUCGGCUAACUCCGUGCCAGCAGCCGCGGUAAUACGGAGGAUGCGAGCGUUAUCCGGAUUUAUUGGGUUUAAAGGGUGCGUAGGCCGGCCGAUAAGUCAGCGGUGAAAUACCAUGGCCCAACCAUGGAACUGCCGUUGAUACUGUCGGUCUUGAAUAUGGUCAAGGUAGGCGGAAUGUGUAAUGUAGCGGUGAAAUGCUUAGAUAUUACACAGAACACCGAUUGCGAAGGCAGCUUACUGGUCCAUUAUUGACGCUGAGGCACGAAAGCGUGGGGAUCGAACAGGAUUAGAUACCCCGGUAGUCC